UCGAAACCUGCCCAGCAGAGCGACCCGUGAACACGUUCAACCUCAUGGGUGUUGGGGCGGCAGGUGCCUUGUGUGCUUGCUUGCCCCUAUCCCAGGCCGAGGGGCGCCCACUUGUGAGCCGUCCUCUUGGCCAAACAACGAACCCCGGCGCGUAAAGCNNNAAGGAAUAUAAACUUAAUGUGUGUGCUCUCCCUCUGCMCRRUUAGCCGCUGCGGGGGAGUUKUGCCAURUCUUAACAAUA
rnacentral:rRNA from 1 species